rnacentral:rRNA from 1 species
AGUGAACGUUGGCGGCGUGGAUUAGGCAUGCAAGUCGAGCGAGAACCGUAGCAAUACGGGGACAGCGGCGAAAGGGACAGUAAUGUGUAGGUACCUACCCCGAGGUCUGGGAUAGCUGCGGGAAACUGCAGGUAAUACCGGAUAAUGUCUUCGGACCAAAGGUGUGGUUCCACCUUGGGAGGGGCCUGCAUCCUAUUAGCUAGUUGGCGGGGUCAUGGCCCAACAAGGCAACGAUGGGUAGCGGGUGUCAGAGCACGACCCGGUUCAUUGGGACUGAGAUACUGCCCAGACACCUACGGGUGGCUGCAGUCGAGGAUCUUCGGCAAUGGGCGAAAGCCUGACCGAGCGACGCCGCGUGCGGGAUGAAGGCCUUCGGGUUGUAAACCGCUGUCGCAGAGGAGGAAAUGCAGGGGGGUUCUCCCUUCUGUUUGACCUAUUCUAGGAGGAAGGACGGGCUAAGUUCGUGCCAGCCGCCGCUGUAA